rnacentral:rRNA from 1 species
CUUCCGUAGGUGAACCUGCGGAAGGAUCAUUACCGAGUUUUCGGGCUUCGGCUCGACUCUCCCACCCUUUGUGAACGUACCUCUGUUGCUUUGGCGGCUCCGGCCGCCAAAGGACCUCCAAACUCCAGUCAGUAAACGCAGACGUCUGAUAAACAAGUUAAUAAACUAAAACUUUCAACAACGGAUCUCUUGGUUCUGGCAUCGAUGAAGAACGCAGCGAAAUGCGAUAAGUAAUGUGAAUUGCAGAAUUCAGUGAAUCAUCGAAUCUUUGAACGCACAUUGCGCCCCUUGGUAUUCCGGGGGGCAUGCCUGUUCGAGCGUCAUUACAACCCUCAAGCUCUGCUUGGAAUUGGGCACCGUCCUCACUGCGGACGCGCCUCAAAGACCUCGGCGGUGGCUGUUCAGCCCUCAAGCGUAGUAGAAUACACCUCGCUUUGGAGUGGUUGGCGUCGCCCGCCGGACGAACCUUCUGAACUUUUCUCAAGGUUGACCUCGGAUCAGGUAGGGAUACCCGCUGAACUUAAGCAUAUCAAUA